ACGCUGGCGGCAGGCUUAACACAUGCAAGUCGAACGGUAACAGGGAUUAGCUUGCUAAUCUGCUGACGAGUGGCGGACGGGUGAGUAAUGCUUGGGAAUCUGGCUUAUGGAGGGGGAUAACUACGGGAAACUGUAGCUAAUACCGCGUAAAAUCUUCGGAUUAAAGGGUGGGACUUUCGAGCCACCUGCCAUAAGAUGAGCCCAAGUGGGAUUAGGUAGUUGGUUAGGUAAAGGCUGACCAAGCCGACGAUCUCUAGCUGGUCUGAGAGGAUGACCAGCCACACUGGAACUGAGACACGGUCCAGACUCCUACGGGAGGCAGCAGUGGGGAAUAUUGCACAAUGGGGGGAACCCUGAUGCAGCCAUGCCGCGUGAAUGAAGAAGGCCUUCGGGUUGUAAAGUUCUUUCGGUGACGAGGAAGGUUGGUAGGUUAAUAGCCUAUCAAAUUGACGUUAAUCACAGAAGAAGCACCGGCUAACUCCGUGCCAGCAGCCGCGGUAAUACGGGGGGUGCGAGCGUUAAUCGGAAUAACUGGGCGUAAAGGGCACGCAGGCGGUGACUUAAGUGAGAUGUGAAAGCCCCGAGCUUAACUUGGGAAUUGCAUUUCAUACUGGGUCGCUAGAGUACUUUAGGGAGGGGUAGAAUUCCACGUGUAGCGGUGAAGUGCGUAGAGAUGUGGAGGAAUACCGAAGGCGAAGGCAGCCCCUUGGGAAUGUACUGACGCUCAUGUGCGAAAGCGUGGGGAGCAAACAGGAUUAGAUACCCUGGUAGUCCACGCUGUAAACGAUGUCGAUUUGGGGAUUGGGCUUUGAGCUUGGUGCCCGUAGCUAACGUGAUAAAUCGACCGCCUGGGGAGUACGGCCGCAAGGUUAAAACUCAAAUGAAUUGACGGGGGCCCGCACAAGCGG
rnacentral:rRNA from 1 species